rnacentral:rRNA from 1 species
GUCUACGGCCAUGCCACCUUGAACAAGCCGGAUCCCAUCCAAUCUCAGAAGCUAAGCAGGGUCGGGCCUGGUUAGUCCUUAGACAGGAGACCACCUAGGAAGACCACGUACUGUGAGCG